CAACAACAACAUAGACUAGCUAAAACAUCGUUCAGGGGCACUAGAGAUUUGAAAAGAGAUAUUAGACCAUAGCACAGGUCUGGUCUGUUGACUUACCUUGGUUCAAGGAUCAUGUGAAUAGUUUCCCGAACUGUUUCCGGUUGGCAAAAAAAAGAGGCAGCAGCAGCAACUUUAAUCUGCGUGUUCGGUUUUGCAAUCGUUUUGCUUGGUUGUAAAGAGCCGAGAAGUCCUGACUAGCAAGAGACUUGUGUGAAUUCGUGAAAGCACCUAUAUCCGGAUUGGGGCGUUCAAAGUUGACAUUUGGCUUUGAUCUAAUCAAGCUUGAUUGCACUGGGAAAAGUGCAACGUGUAUGGUGUAAGUAGCAGUGUUGUAGUGUGACUCAAUGAUGGUUCCCUUGGACCCUAUGGGACCACCAGUGAUAAACGGGGGUGGAGGAAGGGUCGGAACCAUGGGAGGGGGAGAUGGAAUAGGAUCCGAUGGCUCGCUAGGCGCUAGUGGAAUCAACACCAUCAGUAUAGCAACAGUUGGCGCUAACGCAUCAUUUCGCCGAACGGAUGACGAAUACAGGAGCAAACUAAUGAAGACUACUGUUAGAAAUUAUGGUGAGUACAUAAACAACCCAAAUAUUUCAAUGACCGAAACGAGAUAAUGCAAAUAUCUCGCUAUUCAAUCACAAUUUGCCAUUGAACUGAAUAAACGAACUACACGAUGGAAUAG